rnacentral:rRNA from 1 species
AUUGAACGCUGGCGGCAGGCUUAACACAUGCAAGUCGAGCGGAGAGAGGUAGCUUGCUACUGAUCUUAGCGGCGGACGGGUGAGUAAUGCUUAGGAAUCUGCCUAUUAGUGGGGGACAACAUUUCGAAAGGAAUGCUAAUACCGCAUACGUCCUACGGGAGAAAGCAGGGGAUCUUCGGACCUUGCGCUAAUAGAUGAGCCUAAGUCGGAUUAGCUAGUUGGUGGGGUAAAGGCCUACCAAGGCGACGAUCUGUAGCGGGUCUGAGAGGAUGAUCCGCCACACUGGGACUGAGACACGGCCCAGACUCCUACGGGAGGCAGCAGGGGGGAAUAUUGGACAAUGGGCGGAAGCCUGAUCCAGCCAUGCCGCGUGUGUGAAGAAGGCCUUGAGGUUGUAAAGCACUUUAAGCGAGGAGGAGGCUACUUUAGUUAAUACCUAGAGAUAGUGGACGUUACUCGCAGAAUAAGCACCGGCUAACUCUGUGCCAGCCGCCGCCGUAAUAC